CCCAGAAUCCUAAGUUUUCCGAGAAACUGGCAGGGCUUAUUGAUUUAUUAGACUCUGUUCUUUUUACCCAUCAGCCCACGUGGGACGAUUGCCAGCAGCUUUGGCAGGUCCUGUUCAUGACUGAGUAAAGAGAAAGAAUCCUCAAUGAGGCCUGAAAACUAGUUCUGGGCACAGACGGGAAUCCCACCACCAACCAGGCUCAGAUAGAUGCCUCCUUCCCCUUAACUCAGCCCAAGUGUGAUUUCAACACGGCAGAAGAGGGCUCCAGAAGGUGCACGAGGACAUUUGGCUGCACCUCUGUGCCAUCUAUGAGGCCGGCUCAACCCCGACACAUCACCAGUACAGGCCGGGAGACUGGGUCUACGUCAAGAGGCACCGCCGAGAGACCCUCGAGCCUGCUGGAAGGGACCCUACAACGUGGCGCUGACAACCCCCACCACUCUCAAAGUAGACGGCAGCGCGACCGGGGUCUAUCACACCCACGUUCAGCCAGUGGACCCCUCCUCGAUCUGGAAGGACUUCGUCACACAAUGGGCCAUCAAUCGGGACCAACACAACCCGCUCAAGCUACAGCGCAUUCAACCCACCUGAUAUUGGUAACUCUGUUAACUCUGCUUGUCAUUGCUCAUGCUGCCAGGAGUCCCCACACCCCCCAAAACAUUACCUAGCAGAUCAUAGACACCAGCUCAGGGACAAUACUUAAUCAGACAUCCCAGACCCACCCUAGAGACACAUGGUUCCCAGAAUUACGAGUAGACUUAGAAAGCCUGUUUCCCCCUUAUACCGGCCACCCCAGGGUUGAUACCACAGGGUUCAGGCGAUAAGACUUUCACUUCUAUGUCUGUCCUGGUGGAAAAGACCGUGGGGACACUUGCGGGGAUGCGGCAGACUACUUCUGCGCCUCUUGGUCAUGUGUCACCACUGGACACAUCUGGUGGACCCCACCACGCACCGGAGAUCUCAUCGUGGUAACGCAGCCUGGUGGCCCCCGACCACCGUAUAUCUUGGGCCAUGGUAAUCCUGUGUCAAUAUCUUUCACAGAACAAGGAAAAAAGACAACAGGGAGGGAAGCUGGAAAAACCUGGGGGUCAGGCUUUAUGACAAGGUCAGACUUGGGACUCGAGAUAAAGGAAUGUUAUUUACCCUCCGAAUGCAAGGAACCCCCCCUUGCCCAGAAGUCCCCCACAGGGGUAGGACCCAACCAAGUACUAGUUCCCCGACCUGUCCCCGCCCGGACGGCAAUGCCCAGAAACACCCAGCCUCCGGCUACACGGCCCUCCACAUCCCCUGUCCCUACCGGAGCGUCACCCACAUCUUCUGCCCCAGGUCACAAGUUACUCUCUGAUACAGACCCCCUAUGGAGCUCGGUUGUCAGAGCAUACCAGGUACUAAACACUUCUAGGCCCAACCUGACCAAGUCCUGUUGGCUCUGUCUAGAUGUGUGGCCCCCAUAUUACGAAGGUAUUGCCAUUAAAGGCAAUUAUACAACAGCCUCCAACUCUAAGUCCUGCAGAUGGCAGCAGACUACUGCAAGACUAACCCUCCAGGCAGUAACAGGACAGGGCACUUGCAUAGGCCACGUGCCCCCCGGGCAGUCACAUCUCUGUAGUGAAACCCUAACAGUCCCCAGGGAGACAGUGUAUCUACUUCCCCCCAAAAAUGCAUGGUGGGCCUGUUCCAGAGGCCUCGCUCCCUGCGUCCACUCCCAAGUCCUUAACUCCUCGAAGGAAGGCUUCUGAAUACUCGUGCAGUUGAUCCUCAAGCUAGUGUACCAUUUGGGGGGGAAAUACUUAACAGGUUAGGCUCUACUAACCCCCGAAGUAAAAGAGAGCCUAUUAGAA